AUUGAACGCUGGCGGCAGGCCUAACACAUGCAAGUCGAGCGGAUGAGAGGAGCUUGCUUCUCGAUUCAGCGGCGGACGGGUGAGUAAUGCCUAGGAAUCUGCCUGGUAGUGGGGGACAACGUUUCGAAAGGAACGCUAAUACCGCAUACGUCCUACGGGAGAAAGCAGGGGACCUUCGGGCCUUGCGCUAUCAGAUGAGCCUAGGUCGGAUUAGCUAGUUGGUGAGGUAAUGGCUCACCAAGGCGACGAUCCGUAACUGGUCUGAGAGGAUGAUCAGUCACACUGGAACUGAGACACCGUCCAGACUCCUACGGGAGGUAGCAGUGGGGAAUAUUGGACAAUGGGCGAAAGCCUGAUCCAGCCAUGCCGCGUGUGUGAAGAAGGUCUUCGGAUUGUAAAGCACUUUAAGUUGGGAGGAAGGGUUGUAGAUUAAUACUCUGCAAUUUUGACGUUACCGACAGAAUAAGCACCGGCUAACUCUGUGCCAGCCGCCGCAGUAA
rnacentral:rRNA from 1 species